rnacentral:rRNA from 1 species
UACGGAGGGUGCGAGCGUUGUCCGGAAUCAUUGGGCGUAAAGGGCGCGUAGGUGGCCACUUCAAGCGUGCGGUGAAAGUCGGGGGCUCAACCCCUGAUCGGCCGUGCGAACUGGGGGGCUGGAGCACUGUAGAGGCAGGCGGAAUUCCGGGUGUAGCGGUGGAAUGCGUAGAGAUCCGGAAGAACACCGGAGGCGAAGGCGGUUUGCUGGGCGUAGUCUGACGCUGAGGCGCGAAAGCGUGGGGAGCGAACAGG